UGUGCUCGUAACGAGGCGUAGAUUAGUUUUCAAACCUUUAUUGAUUAGUGUACUGUUUUAAUUUAUUUUUAUUGUUUGCUUUGUGUAUGAUUGCGUAGAUGCUUGUGUGGUGCUUUAUGAUUAUGUUCAGUCGGUGAGCUAUACGUGGUGAUCAAGAAGCAGUUCGUUGAAGGUUUGGAAGUUAAAGAAGGAUCUAUGUUUAAGGCAAGU
rnacentral:lncRNA from 1 species